rnacentral:rRNA from 1 species
CGCCUCUUGAACCCUAUAAGAGGUCCAGCCUGCCCAGUGACUUUGUUCAACGGCCGCGGUAUCCUAACCGUGCGAAGGUAGCGUAAUCACUUGUUCUUUAAAUGAGGACUAGUAUGAAUGGCACCACGAAGGUUAUACUGUCUCCUUUCUUUAAUCAGUGAAACUAAUCUCUCCGUGAAGAAGCGGGGAUAAACCUAUAAGACGAGAAGACCCUAUGGAGCUUUAAACAUAAGUAACAACUGCCCAUUAAAUUUUUUAAUCUCAGGAGAUUAAUCACAACACUUAGGCACUUUGAUUACAAGUUUUAGGUUGGGGUGACCGCGGAGCAAAAAAUAACCUCCGCAGUGAAUGGAACUUAUUUCCUAAACCCAGGGCUACGACCCUAAGAAUCAAUAAAUUGACACUGAUUGACCCAAUAUUUUUGAUCAAUGAACCAAGUUACCCUAGGGAUAACAGCGCAAUCCACUUCAAGAGCCCCUAUCGACAAGUGGGUUUACGACCUCGAUGUUGGAUCAGGGUAUCCCAGUGGUGCAGCCGCUACUAAAGGUUCGUUUGUUCAACGAUUAAAACCCUACGUGAUCUGAGU